UAAUUGUCACAUAUGUGGUAAAAAUCUUGCUACCACUCAUGGAUUCUUCAUUGAAGCUCCAAUUGUUAAGCAGCUGUAAACAUUUUUCCGAGACCCUGAAUUUCUAAGUGGCUUAAGAUACCGGUUUCAAAGGAUGAAGAGGGAUGGCAGUAACAUUGAAGAUGUGUAUGAUGUUGCACUCUACCAAAGGGAUUAUUGAAUGAAUUUUAUGUUGGAUAAACUUGUAAAGGUUUAAAAUUAAAGGAAAUAUAGUAAUUACAGUAAAACAAGUGCUUUUAACAGUGUUAUAUGUGUGCUGAAGUCUUUUUAUAUAUCCUUACCACCUUUCAGCAAUGUUCCUCAAAUGUAUUUUGAUAGUUCAACAGGUUUAUACAAAAGAAAUCAUACUGCAAUGAUUGUAGCAUGGAAAACUGAAAACUGUAGUUUCUAUUCAAUUGAGAAAACAUAUCAAACACUCUUCAGCUACCCAAACACCUCAAAUUUUGUC